rnacentral:rRNA from 1 species
UACGAAGGGGGCUAGCGUUGCUCGGAAUCACUGGGCGUAAAGGGUGCGUAGGCGGGUUCUUAAGUCAGAGGUGAAAUCCUGGAGCUCAACUCCAGAACUGCCUUUGAUACUGAGAGUCUUGAGUUCGGGAGAGGUGAGUGGAACUGCGAGUGUAGAGGUGAAAUUCGUAGAUAUUCGCAAGAACACCAGUGGCGAAGGCGGCUCACUGGCCCGAUACUGACGCUGAGGCACGAAAGCGUGGGGGAGCAAACAGG